GAGUUUGAUCUUGGCUCAGAUUGAACGCUGGCGGCAGGCCUAACACAUGCAAGUCGAGCGGAUGAAGGGAGCUUGCUCCUGGAUUCAGCGGUGGACGGGUGAGUAAUGCCUAGGAAUCUGCCUGGUAGUGGGGGAUAACGUCCGGAAACGGGCGCUAAUACCGCAUACGUCCUGAGGGAGAAAGUGGGGGAUCUUCGGACCUCACGCUAUCAGAUGAGCCUAGGUCGGAUUAGCUAGUUGGUGGGGUAAAGGCCUACCAAGGCGACGAUCCGUAACUGGUCUGAGAGGAUGAUCAGUCACACUGGAACUGAGACACGGUCCAGACUCCUACGGGAGGCAGCAGUGGGGAAUAUUGGACAAUGGGCGAAAGCCUGAUCCAGCCAUGCCGCGUGUGUGAAGAAGGUCUUCGGAUUGUAAAGCACUUUAAGUUGGGUAGGAAGGGCGAGUAAGUUAAUACCUUGC
rnacentral:rRNA from 1 species